GACGAACGCUGGCGGCGUGCCUAAUACAUGCAAGUAGAACGCUGAAGGAGGAGCUUGCUUCACUGGAUGAGUUGCGAACGGGUGAGUAACGCGUAGGUAACCUGCCUGGUAGCGGGGGAUAACUAUUGGAAACGAUAGCUAAUACCGCAUAAGAGUAGAUGUUGCAUGACAUUUGCUUAAAAGGUGCAAUUGCAUCACUACCAGAUGGACCUGCGUUGUAUUAGCUAGUUGGUGGGGUAACGGCUCACCAAGGCGACGAUACAUAGCCGACCUGAGAGGGUGAUCGGCCACACUGGGACUGAGACACGGCCCAGACUCCUACGGGAGGCAGCAGUAGGGAAUCUUCGGCAAUGGACGGAAGUCUGACCGAGCAACGCCGCGUGAGUGAAGAAGGUUUUCGGAUCGUAAAGCUCUGUUGUAAGAGAAGAACGAGUGUGAGAGUGGAAAGUUCACACUGUGACGGUAUCUUACCAGAAAGGGACGGCUAACUACGUG
rnacentral:rRNA from 1 species